UCAAUAGCCUAACGGCUGAACCAGCAACUUGGAAGAAGGUAUAGCAAUAGCUAAUUGUAUUAGCAAAUAGUUUUUACAAUAUCGAUUUAAUCGACUAAAAUUCUAGGUAGAUUUAUGAUGAUGACAUUAUCUAUCUAUGUGUCUUGACCAAAUUUCGUGCCAGCAGUCGCGGUAAGACGUAAGAGACUAGUGUUAUUCAUCUUUAAUAGGUUUAAAGCGUACCUAGACGGUAAUUAAAGCCUAUAUCAGGAACUUGUUUACUAGAGUUAAAUGUAAGGGUGUAUUAAAGUACUGUUGAGUGUAGAGAUGAAAUUCGUUGAUACCAAAUAAUUGGCACAGGUAUAGGCGAAAGCAUCACUUUAUGUAAUAACUGACGUUGACGGACGAAGGCUUUGUGUCGCGAACAGGAUUAGAUACCCCAGUAGUCUUAGCAGAAAACUAUGAGUGUCAUAGGUUAGAUUUUAUUUGGUCUAUAAAUGAAAGUGUAAGCACUCCACCUCAAGAGUAAUUUGGCAACAUUGGAACUGAAAUCAUUAGACCGUUUCUGAAACCAGUAGUGAAGUAUGUUGUUUAAUUUGAUAAUCCGCAAAGAACCUUACCACAAUUUGAAUAUAAAUGAUUUAUUUUUACAAGCGUUGCACGGCUGUCUUCAGUUAAUGUCGUGAGAUAUUGGUUUAUUCCAUUAAAUUAACGUAAACCCGUACUUUAUUUUUAUAUAAAGUUGUUCAUUCGCUAUAAUGGAUG
rnacentral:rRNA from 1 species